ACAAGAAAAAUUGGAGAAGCAAAGGCCAACAAUACAAAUAGAUGUAUUGUUUUCGUAAAUAUCAUUGUUCUGUAUUGUUCUUAUAUUUUUGUCGCUUCUCCUCUCUUCCUCAAUGGUAUUGAGCGUAAUAUGUA
rnacentral:ribozyme from 14 species